rnacentral:rRNA from 1 species
ACGGGUGAGUAACGCGUAUGCAACCUACCUAUCAGAGGGGAAUAAUCCGGCGAAAGUCGGACUAAUACCGACAUAAAACAGGGGCACCGCAUGGUGAUAUUUGUUAAAGAAAUUCGCUGAUAGAUGGGCAUGCGUUCCAUUAGGUAGUUGAUGAGGUAACGGCUCACCAAGCCGACGAUGGAUAGGGGAACUGAGAGGUUGGUCCCCCCACACUGGUACUGAGACACGGACCAGACUCCUACGGGAGGCAGCAGUGAGGAAUAUUGGUCAAUGGGCGGGAGCCUGAACCAGCCAAGUCGCGUGAAGGAAGAAGGAUCUAUGGUUCGUAAACUUCUUUUGCAGGGGAAUAAAGUGCAGGACGUGUCCUGUUUUGUAUGUACCCUGAGAAUAAGGAUCGGCUAACUCCGUGCCAGCCGCCGC